rnacentral:rRNA from 1 species
GACGUAGGUGGCAAGCGUUGUUCGGAAUUAUUGGGCGUAAAGGGCGCGUAGGCGGUGCGGUAAGUCUGUAGUGAAAUCUCUGGGCUCAACUCAGAGUCUGCUGCAGAAACUGCCGUGCUUGAGUGUGGGAGAGGUGAGUGGAAUUCCCGGUGUAGCGGUGAAAUGCGUAGAUAUCGGAAGGAAUACCGGUGGUGUAGACGGCUCUCUGGACCGUAACUGACACUGAGACACGAAAGCGUGGGUAGCAAACAGG